UACGUAGGGUGCGAGCGUUAAUCGGAAUUACUGGGCGUAAAGCGUGCGCAGGCGGCUCUGAAAGUCAGCUGUGAAAGCCCCGGGCUUAACCUGGGAAUGGCGGUUGAAACUACAGAGCUAGAAUCUGGCAGAGGGGGGUGGAAUUCCACGUGUAGCAGUGAAAUGCGUAGAGAUCGGGAGGAACACCAGUGGCGAAGGCGGCUACCUGGACCAGCACUGACACUGAGGCACGAAAGCGUGGGGAGCAAACAGG
rnacentral:rRNA from 1 species